GGAAGUAAAAGUCGUAACAAGGUCUCCGUAGGUGAACCUGCGGAGGGAUCAUUACACAAAUAUGAAGGCGGGCUGGAACCUCUCGGGGUUACAGCCUUGCUGAAUUAUUCACCCUUGUCUUUUGCGUACUUCUUGUUUCCUUGGUGGGUUCGCCCACCACUAGGACAAACAUAAACCUUUUGUAAUUGCAAUCAGCGUCAGUAACAAAUUAAUAAUUACAACUUUCAACAACGGAUCUCUUGGUUCUGGCAUCGAUGAAGAACGCAGCGAAAUGCGAUAAGUAGUGUGAAUUGCAGAAUUCAGUGAAUCAUCGAAUCUUUGAACGCACAUUGCGCCCUUUGGUAUUCCAAAGGGCAUGCCUGUUCGAGCGUCAUUUGUACCCUCAAGCUUUGCUUGGUGUUGGGCGUCUUGUCUCUAGCUUUGCUGGAGACUCGCCUUAAAGUAAUUGGCAGCCGGCCUACUGGUUUCGGAGCGCAGCACAAGUCGCACUCUCUAUCAGCAAAGGUCUAGCAUCCAUUAAGC
rnacentral:rRNA from 1 species